GUUUUUAUAGUUUAAGUAAAACAUUGGUCUUGUAAACCAAAUUUAAGAAAAUUUUCUUUAAAAACU
rnacentral:tRNA from 1 species